GCAAGUCGAGCGGGCCUGUGGCGCGACCUGCAGGUCAGCGGCGGACGGCGGAGUAACACGUAGCUAACCUACCCCCUGGACGGGGAUAACCACCCGAAAGGGUGGCUAAUACCCGAUGUAGUCCCUAUCUGAGAUGGUAGGGAUGAAAGGUGGGCCUCUGCGGAAGCAAGCUCAUGCCAGGGGAGGCGGCUGCGGCCUAUCAGGUAKUUGGUGGGGUAAAGGCCCACCAAGCCUAUGACGGGUAGCCGGCCUGAGAGGGUGACCGGCCCGAGGGACACUGAGACACGGGUCCCACUCCUACGGGAGGCAGCAGGCUAGAAAAUUGGGCAAUGGGGGAAACCCUGACCCAGUGACGCCGCGUGCAGGAAGAAGCCCUUCGGCGUGUAAACUGCUGUCGUGCGGGACGAAGGGUCCAUAKGCGAACAGUCUAUGGGCUUGACGGUACCCCAGGAGGAAGCCCAKGCUAACCUCGUGCCAGCAGCCGCGGUAAUACSGGGUGGGCGAGCGUUGCCCGGAAUUACUGGGUUUAAAGGCGGUGUAGGCGGUCCGGAGAGUCAGGUGUGUAAUCCAACCGCUCAACGGUUGGGCUGCACCUGAUACUUCCGGGCUAGAGCGCGGUAGAGGAGAGCGGAACUCCCGGUGUAGCGGUGAAAUGCGUAGAUAUCGGGAGGAACGCCGGUGGCGAAGGCGGCUCUCUGGGCUGUUCCUGACGCUGAGGCCCGAAAGCUGCCGGAGCGAAAGGGAUUAGAUACCCCUGUAGUCCCAGCCGUAAACGAUGGGCACUAGGUGUUCCCCCGCGAUGGGGAGUGCCGACGGGAAACCAUUAAGUGCCCCACCUGGGGAGUACGCCCGCAAGGGUGAAACUCAAAGGAAUUGACGGCGGCCCGCACAAGCGGUGGAGCGCGUGGUUUAAUUCGACGCUAAGCGAAGAACCUUACCUGGGCUUGACAUGCUGGUGGUACCCUGGUGGAAACACUGGGGGACUCCGCGUUGAGGCGAGAGCCAGCACAGGUGCUGCACGGCUGUCGUCAGCUCGUGCCGUGAGGUGUUGGGUUAAGUCCCGCAACGAGCGCAACCCCUGCCCUUAGUUGCCACAGCAUCCAUGAGGUGGCUGGGCACUCUAAGGGGACUGCCGCCGAUGAGGCGGAGGAAGGUGGGGAUGACGUCAAGUCCGUGUGGCCUUUAUGUCCAGCGCUACACACGCGCUACAAUGGGUGGUACAAUGGGCUAUGCGACCCCGCGAGGGGAAGCGAAUCCCAG
rnacentral:rRNA from 1 species